rnacentral:rRNA from 1 species
ACGCUCGACACCUACUGAGGCAGCAGUGGGGAAUAUUGCACAAUGGGGGAAACCCUGAUGCAGCGACGCCGCGUGGAGGAAGAAGGUCUUCGGAUUGUAAACUCCUGUUGUUGGGGAAAAAGAGGAUGGUACCCAACAAGGAAGUGACGGCUAACUACGUGCUAGCAGCCGCGGUAAUCUGAGCGGGCUGGCAAGGC